UACGUAGGGUGCGAGCGUUAAUCGGAAUUACUGGGCGUAAAGCGUGCGCAGGCGGUUUUGUAAGCCAGAUGUGAAAUCCCCGGGCUUAACCUGGGAAUGGCAUUUGGGACUGCAAGGCUUGAGUGCGGCAGAGGAGACUGGAAUUCCUGAUGUAGCAGUGAAAUGCGUAGAGAUCGGGAGGAACACCAGAGGCGAAAGCGGCGACCUGGACAAGUACUGACACUCAACUACGAAAGCGUGGGGAGCAAACAGG
rnacentral:rRNA from 1 species